rnacentral:rRNA from 1 species
GGAUCCAGACUUUGAUCAUGGCUCAGGAUGAACGCUAGCUACAGGCUUAACACAUGCAAGUCGAGGGGAAACGAUAUUGGAAGCUUGCUUCCGAUAGGCGUCGACCGGCGCACGGGUGAGUAACGCGUAUCCAACCUGCCCAUCACUUGGGGAUAACCUUGCGAAAGUAAGACUAAUACCCAAUGACGUCUCUAGAAGACAUCUGAAAGAGAUUAAAGAUUUAUCGGUGAUGGAUGGGGAUGCGUCUGAUUAGCUUGUUGGCGGGGUAACGGCCCACCAAGGCAACGAUCAGUAGGGGUUCUGAGAGGAAGGUCCCCCACAUUGGAACUGAGACACGGUCCAAACUCCUACGGGAGGCAGCAGUGAGGAAUAUUGGUCAAUGGACGAGAGUCUGAACCAGCCAAGUAGCGUGCAGGAUGACGGCCCUAUGGGUUGUAAACUGCUUUUAUAAGGGAAUAAAGUGAGUCUCGUGAGACUUUUUGCAUGUACCUUAUGAAUAAGGACCGGCUAAUUCCGUGCCAGCAGCCGCGGUAAUACGGAAGGUCCGGGCGUUAUCCGGAUUUAUUGGGUUUAAAGGGAGCGUAGGCCGGAGAUUAAGCGUGUUGUGAAAUGUAGACGCUCAACGUCUGCACUGCAGCGCGAACUGGUUUCCUUGAGUACGCACAAAGUGGGCGGAAUUCGUGGUGUAGCGGUGAAAUGCUUAGAUAUCACGAAGAACUCCGAUUGCGAAGGCAGCUCACUGGAGCGCAACUGACGCUGAAGCUCGAAAGUGCGGGUAUCGAACAGGAUUAGAUACCCUGGUAGUCCGCACGGUAAACGAUGGAUGCCCGCUGUUGGUCUGAAUAGGUCAGCGGCCAAGCGAAAGCAUUAAGCAUCCCACCUGGGGAGUACGCCGGCAACGGUGCAACUCAAAGGAAUUGACGG